UACGAAGGGGGCUAGCGUUGUUCGGAAUCACUGGGCGUAAAGCGCACGUAGGCGGAUCUUUAAGUCAGGGGUGAAAUCCCGAGGCUCAACCUCGGAACUGCCUUUGAUACUGGGGAUCUCGAGUCCGGGAGAGGUGAGUGGAACUGCGAGUGUAGAGGUGAAAUUCGUAGAUAUUCGCAAGAACACCAGUGGCGAGGGCGGCUCACUGGCCCGGAACUGACGCUGAGGUGCGAAAGCGUGGGGAGCAAACAGGG
rnacentral:rRNA from 1 species